rnacentral:lncRNA from 1 species
GUAUUAUCAUUUCAAUGUGUAAACUAUAUAAAAAUUAUUAAUGAGAUAUUAUAAUCUUUUCUUCAUACUAAGUCUGAAGUUGGUGUGCAUUUUCAGUUUCAGUGCAUCUCAUUUUGGCCUAACCACAUUUUAAGAGCUCAGUAGCCUCAUGUGACUAGUGGCUACUGUGUUGGACAGCAUAGCGUUAGAUAAUUCUCCAAGCUGAAGAGAGAGGUCAAAUAAGAGAGCGACAGUGGCUCCAAGAUACAGCUGGGGUGCCAGGGUGGGGGGUCGGCGAGGAGUCACAAUGACUCAUAGAAUGUCCAGGGAGUUUUGGGGAUCUGAGAGCACAGGAACCUGUGCUCACGUCUCAGGUGGGGCCAGGGUGAACAGGGGAGGGUAGAAGUGGCAACUAGAUGCGUCUAGGACAGCGCCCCACGUCUGCCACAUCCCCCCAAGUCUCCAGAGUGGCACAGGGGAACAUCCAACAGUUCCCCAGUCCCUAAGAGGAGUGAGGACGUGGCUCAGGAAGAAUCGUCACCAUCAGAAUAGGCCGCUGCAAGUGCAGGACUGAUGAUCCGAGUCGAUGGGAAUGUGGACACAGCAGUGAACGCCAGCCUAGAGGGGCGCUGAUGGCCAAAGACCUGACGCUUCACAUCAUGUCUCCUAAACUUCAGUGCCACUCUGGGGAGAUGAGAGGGAAAGGAGAAGUUCUGAAUUCAUAGUUUACCUGAAAUGAUGAAAAAACCCAGAGGUUUGUUUUGGGAGCUUUAUCCCUCUUGCCUCCUUGAUUAUGGGCUGAGCUCAGUCAUCGCUUCUAAAGAAUAGAGCAUGGGAAAGGGCAUAAAUCAGUGCUCAUGUCCACCAAAAGACACACACAAGAAUGUUCAUAACAGCCCGAACUUGAAACAACUCAAAUGUCUUUUGACAACAGAAUGGAUAAAGUACAAGGUAGUCAUACAAUCAAACGAAUACAGCAACAAAAAAGAACAAAACUCACCAACAUGAUGUGGAGUAAAAGAAGCCAUUUCAUUAUGCAGAGUUCAAAAUCAGGCAGACAAAUCUGUGGUGCUAAGAGUUGGAAGUGGCGCCCUUUGAGAGGAGGCUGGCUGGAAGGCGGGCUGAGGGAGCCUUCUGGGCGCUGGAAGUGUUCUACACAUUGAUCCGAGUAGCGAUCACACACGUGUGUGCGUACGUAAAAGAUCAGUCACGCUUUAGACUUAAGAAUUAUACAUUUUAUUGCAAGUUGUAUCUCAAUAAAACAUGUUUUUUAAGUUUGUAAGAGUCUAG